rnacentral:rRNA from 1 species
UAAUCGGCUUCGUAGGUGACCUGCGGAGGAUCAUUACCGAGUUGAUUCGGGCUCCGGCCCGAUCCUCCCACCCUUUGUGUACCUACCUCUGUUGCUUUGGCGGGCCGCGGUCCUCCGCGGCCGCCCCCCUCCCCGGGGGGGUGGCCAGCGCCCGCCAGAGGACCAUCAAACUCCAGUCAGUAAACGAUGCAGUCUGAAAAACAUUUAAUAAACUAAAACUUUCAACAACGGAUCUCUUGGUUCUGGCAUCGAUGAAGAACGCAGCGAAAUGCGAUAAGUAAUGUGAAUUGCAGAAUUCAGUGAAUCAUCGAAUCUUUGAACGCACAUUGCGCCCUUUGGUAUUCCGAAGGGCAUGCCUGUUCGAGCGUCAUUACAACCCUCAAGCUCUGCUUGGUAUUGGGCACCGUCCUUUGCGGGCGCGCCUCAAAGACCUCGGCGGUGGCGUCUUGCCUCAAGCGUAGUAGAACAUACAUCUCGCUUCGGAGCGCAGGGCGUCGCCCGCCGGACGAACCUUCUGAACUUUUCUCAAGGUUGACCUCGGAUCAGGUAGGGAUACCCGCUGAACUUAAGCAUAUCAAUAAGUCGGAGGAA